rnacentral:lncRNA from 1 species
UGCCCUUUUUUUUUUUUUAGCAGCUUGCAAAACACAUGGCUUUGAGAUGGUGAGGAAAAUGCUUCUUUGCUGGAUGCUGAGAGAUUGCAGUGAGUAGGACUCUGAUCCGCAGAGGUGUCUGUGAGCUGUAGAUACAGAUCCCACUUCACAGGACAGGAAAGCGUUCUUGGAAGAGGAACCGAAGUUCAAAUGAAGAUGCACGAGGCCAAACCCUCGGCAGCCAGGGAGCAGGGCACACACAGGCUCUCCAGGUGUUGUCUGCUGCAGGGCUCUGCGCUGCCAUCGCUGCCGUUUCUCUGAAGUAUCCUCCAUCCUGGGCAGCAGUGCCUGCUGCAGAGCUGCCCCAGCCUUGCUGGGCACUGUCGGGUGUGGG